AUGAAUGCGUGGAUGAAGAGUAAGUAACAUGAUGGAUGUUUUAAGAGAGCUGAUGGUUGGUGUGAAUCAGUAGCAGAGAUGAUGUGAAUGGACUUCGGAGCAACUAAGCUGAACGGGAUUUUUCCUCAGUAGGAGUUAGCGAUUAGGCCUUAUCGUUACACAAGGCACCCCAUAUUCGUUGUGGGAUUGAGUGAAUCGUUUUUUCGGUUAAUUAAGGUGGUACCACGGGUCUCCCGUCCUUAUC
rnacentral:ncRNA from 1 species